AUGAGUCCCUUUCUCAUCCUGUGGGGCUGGGUGCUCACGGCUGCCGUGAGCGCAGAUGCUGCUGCAAGCUUGGUGGAGCAAAGCCCCAGAUGGGUGCUGGUACCUCGCGGACAGGCUGAAACCUUGCGCUGCAUCCUGAGGGAUUCCCAGUACCCCUGGAUGAGCUGGUACCAACAGGAUCUCCAGGGGCAACUACAGGUGCUGGCCAGUCUGCGGAGUACCGGGGAUAAGGAGGUCAUAUCCCUUCCCGGAGCAGAUUACCGGGCCACGCGGGUCAGUGAGAGUGAGCUGAGACUACACGUGGCCAAUGUGACCCAGGGCAGAACCCUCUUCUGCACCUGCACGCCCCCCAGCCUGCCUCCUCCCCACCUGGAGCCCCCCUUCUGGCCUCUCUACUACAAGCAGACUCUCUGCCGCUUUCCCAUUGCGUUUCAGAGGACACUCACUGAAUGA